rnacentral:lncRNA from 1 species
CGGAACUGGUGAGCUAGCUCAAACGCUCGUCCUCAAAAUGCGCUCUCAGGGACCCUUUUUCUGAAGAAAUUACCAGUAUUAUUGGUUAUCAGUUGGAUUUUCUUCAUCGUGAACUAUGAAGGCUAGAAUGAGAACAUGUUCCUGUGUUAAGCAACCUCAUACAGAUUCAGAUUCAGUUUUAUAUUCUUAGUUUAGUUAAAAUUUUCCUUCGCUCUGAAGCAUAGGGUAAAAUGGAGUUUUGUUAAUUUGAACUUAAAUUUGAAUUGUUUUAAGUGGAUCUCAAUUAAUUAUUAUGUUUUGUUUCAUAUUUUAUUUGUAAACAGUCUAAAUUUUGCAAAUUCAAUUUAUUUGAAA